rnacentral:rRNA from 1 species
GAUUAACGCUGGCGGCGUGCAUAACACAUGCAAGUCGAACGAUGAAACUUUAAUGAACCCUUCGGGGAGAAUUAAAGCGGAUUAGUGGCGAACGGGUGAGUAACGCGUGAGUAACCUGCCUUACACAAGGGGAUAGCCUUUGGAAACGAAGAAUAAUACCCUAUAAAACCAUAAAGGCACAUGCAAUUAUGGUCAAAGUAUUAGCGGUGUAAGAUGGACUUGCGUCUGAUUAGCUAGUUGGUGAGAUAAAAGCCCACCAAGGCAACGAUCAGUAGCCGGCUUGAGAGAGUGUACGGCCACAUUGGGACUGAGACACGGCCCAGACUCCUACGGGAGGCAGCAGUGGGGAAUUUUGCACAAUGGGGGAAACCCUGAUGCAGCGACGCCGCGUGAUUUAGAAGGCCUUCGGGUUGUAAAAAUCUUUUGUAUAGGAAGAAAAUGACAGUACUAUACGAAUAAGGUCCGGCUAAUUACGUGCCAGCAGCCGCGGUAAUACGUAAGGACCGAGCGUUGUCCGGAAUCAUUGGGCGUAAAGGGUACGUAGGCGGCUAGAAAAGUUAGAAGUCAAAGGCUAUAGCUCAACUAUAGUAAGCUUCUAAAACUAUUUAGCUUGAGAGAUGGAAGGGAAAGUGGAAUUCCUAGUGUAGCAGUGGAAUGCGCAGAUAUUAGGAGGAAUACCGGUGGCGAAGGCGACUUUCUGGCCAUUUUCUGACGCUGAGGUACGAAAGCGUGGGUAGCAAACAGGAUUAGAUACCCUGGUAGUCCACGCCGUAAACGAUGAGUGUUAGGUGUCUGGAGUCAAAUCUGGGUGCCGCAGCAAACGCAUUAAACACUCCGCCUGGGGAGUACGCACGCGAGUGUGAAACUCAAAGGAAUUGACGGGGACCCGCACAAGCAGCGGAGCAUGUGGUUUAAUUCGACGCAACGCGAAGAACCUUACCAAGUCUUGACAUAUUUUAGAAGCACUUAGAGAGGAUUGCCUAUAUCUUCGGAUAACUAAAAUACAGGUGGUGCAUGGUUGUCGUCCGCUCGUGUCGAGAGAUGUUGGGUUAAGUCCCAUAACGAGCCCAACCCCUAUUGCUAGCUACCAUCAUGGAGUCGGGGACUCUAGUCAGACUGUCCGUGACAAACCGGAAGGAGAGGGGGGAUGACCUUCCAGGUCUUCACGCCCUUCUCUACUUGGGGGUCACACGGGGCGACAAUGGGGGGUGCACACGGCAGCGGGACUGUGAAAUCCAACGAACAUCCCAAACCCCGUCCCAUUUCGGAUUGCCCUCCUCAACUCGGGUUCCCUGAAAGUCGGGUAUCCUAGUAACCGGCAAUAAAAAUUGCCAGGCUGAAACUCUCCCCCGGGCCU